AAAAAAAAAAAGAAAUAGAAAAAGUCGGGAACCUGGCAAGCUGCCUAACUGCUCUGUGCGUCGGUGUCCUCACCUGUGAUGCGGGGACAAAGCUGAAGAAGCCAGCAACCUGAAAACACCAAUGGGCACAGACAGAAGAACCUGCUCGCUCCAGCCAGAGACGUAUGAGGACUUGUAGGUCUGAAGAUUUGAGUGGAUAAAAUUCCAUCAUAAAAAUAAGAUGAAAAAGGGAGCUUCAGGAAAGCUGUCUUCUCUAAGUCACAUAAAGCUGGACUCAAACUUUUUGCCUCUACAAUUUUUUUUCACAAUACUGGGAUGACACCAAAAGGACUUAGGGAAAAGAAAAGGGCACCCACCCACCACAGAUAGCCAUGAGCUUUACAGUGCCCAUCUCAUGCCUUCAAAAGAAUCACUUAUUUCAUCAGGCACUGAAAUUUUUUGACUUGUGUAUAAUAAAAAAAAUCUAUUUAAUUGA
rnacentral:lncRNA from 1 species